rnacentral:rRNA from 1 species
AGGACGAACGCUGGCGGCGUGCUUAACACAUGCAAGUCGAGCGGAAAGGCCCUUCGGGGUACUCGAGCGGCGAACGGGUGAGUAACACGUGAGUAAUCUGCCCCUAGCUCUGGGAUAGCUCCGGGAAACCGGGAUUAAUACCAGAUACGACCACUUUAGACAUCUGUUGUGGUGGAAAGAAUUUUGGCUAGGGAUGAGCUCGCGGCCUAUCAGCUUGUUGGUGAGGUAACGGCUCACCAAGGCGACGACGGGUAGCCGGCCUGAGAGGGCGACCGGCCACACUGGGACUGAGACACGGCCCAGACUCCUACGGGAGGCAGCAGUGGGGAAUAUUGCGCAAUGGGCGAAAGCCUGACGCAGCGACGCCGCGUGGGGGAUGAAGGCCUUCGGGUUGUAAACCCCUUUCAGCAGGGACGAAGCGAAAGUGACGGUACCUGCAGAAGAAGCGCCGGCUAACUACGUGCCAACAGCCGC